rnacentral:rRNA from 1 species
UACGUAGGGGGCAAGCGUUAUCCGGAUUUACUGGGUGCAAAGGGAGCGUAGACGGCGGUGCAAGCCAGAUGUGAAAGCCCGGGGCUCAACCCCGGGACUGCAUUUGGAACUGUGCUGCUAGAGUGUCGGAGAGGCAGGCGGAAUUCCUAGUGUAGCGGUGAAAUGCGUAGAUAUUAGGAGGAACACCAGUGGCGAAGGCGGCCUGCUGGACGAUGACUGACGUUGAGGCUCGAAAGCGUGGGGAGCAAACAGG